rnacentral:tRNA from 1 species
UCCAGGGUAACUUAGUGGACAUGGCAUCUGCCUGGUAAGCGGAACACUGUGUGUUCGAUUCCUAUCCUUGGAC